rnacentral:rRNA from 1 species
CAAGUAAAGGACCUUCCGCCUUCCUUAUCGAUGACCUGCGUGAUUAGCUAGUUGUGGGUAGGGAUGCCUAGCCAGGAUCCUACCUACUUGAUGGAUGUCGACCACCUGGACUGAGCCAGCCCGACUCUUUCGUAGGCAGCAUGGGGAUUUUUUCUAUUGAUGAAGUCUGCUGAGCCAGCCUCGUGGUGAGGAAGUCUUCGGUCGUAAAUUAUUUAUUUGGCAGAAAGAGAUGACCUAGAUAAUCGUCCGUGACGUACCUACCGAAAAGCACGGCUAGCUAGUCCAGCAGCCAGGUAUACGUAGGUGCAAGCGUGAUUGAUUUAUUGGCGUAAGCGAGCGCAGGCGGUCGUCAGUAAGAUUGAUAUCCCUGGCUCAACUGGCAUGUCAUUCAAACUGGCGACCUGAUUCAGUAGUGAGAGUGGAUUUCAUGCGAGCGGUCAAUGCGUAGAUAUAUGUGGAACCCAGUGGGAAGGCGGCCUCCGGUCUGUACUGACGUUCGGUUAGAAAGCGUGGGAGCAAACAGGACUAGAUACCUGGUAGUCCACUCCGUAAACGAUGUAGGUCAGCGAGGGGGGCCUCCUUCCGUCAUUAGUGGAGCAGCUGCAUUAAGCAGUCGACCUCGGGAGUAGGACGGCAGCGUGAAACUCAACGGAGUGACGAGGGCCCGCACAACCGGUGGAGCAUGAGGUGGAAUACGAAGCAACGCGAAGAACCUCCUUAGCUCUCCACGUCAUGUGACCAAUCUAGAAAUGAUUCGUGCCUUCUGGCAAUAAAACCCCAGCUCAGGUAUGGUAUGGCUCAGCUCAGGUCGUGUCAUGAGAGGUUAGGUUCAGUACCGCAACCAGCCCUACCCUUGACUUUCGAUGAUUCGGAUGGGCACUCUAAUGAGACUGCCGGUGACAAACCGGAGGAAGGUGGGGAUGACGUCAAGUCAUCAUGGCCCUUAUGGCCUGGGCUUCACACGUCAUACAAUGGGCGGUACAGAGGGUUGCCAACCCGCGAGGUGGAGCUAAUCUCAGAAAACCGAUUGUAGUCCGGAUUCUAGUCUGCAAUUGGACUCCUGAACUCGGAAUCGCUAGUAAUCGGGAAUCAGAAUGUCGCGGUGAAUACGUUCCCGGGUCUUGUACACACCGGCCGUCACACCAUGGGAGUUGGUUCUACCAGAAGUAGGUAAGCUAACCGCAAGGAGGGCGCUUACCACGGUGGAUUCAUGGCUGGGUGAAGUCGUAACAAGUAACUAGCCC